AGGAACUUAAGUUAUACCCAACUAGGAGCCUUCAAAGCCCCCAAUAAAGCUCACACUUUAGUUUCUG
rnacentral:tRNA from 1 species